AAGUCGUAACAAGGUUUCCGUAGGUGAACCUGCGGAAGGAUCAUUAACGAAGUAGACCUGCUGUGAGCCAAUUCGCUGUUCAAAAUUGAAUCUCAGUCUUGAACAGCUCGAGUUCGGCUUACAGUAAGGCAACUUUCAACCACUUGUGAAUUUGUAACUUAUUUCUUACCAAUUGACUGUUAACGAAGACUGAUUCAAUUACCUGUUGGUGUUUAAAGACACUAAUAUAAUCAUUGAAACAACUUUUGGCAACGGAUCUCUUGGCUCUC
rnacentral:misc_RNA from 1 species